ensembl:lncRNA
GUAGGUGGGGUUGGGAGGGGGUCUUCGAGCGAAUGCAGGCGGCCGGUGCUGAUGAAUGAGUGGAGGCCAUGAGGGCGGCCACGGGUGGCCCAAGGUCCGUUCACCAGGACCAGCAAUCGUUGCUUUAACAUGGAAAACAGAUGAAAAGACCAAGAAUGACCUCCAGAUGGAAAAGCAGCCACACGUGUGGAAACUGUGUACGUGUGCAUCGGCGUUCGGGUCUGCCGUGAGAAGCGUGUGACUGACAGAAUGAGGUCACCUCUGAUGGGGGGACCUGAGUGCGAGGAUGCCGACCUCCACAUACCACUUUUGCUCGUUACCCAAUGUUUCCCCUGCAUACAUCCAGCAGUACUGCAGUAACGCCGCUGGAAAGAUAGUGCCACUGCAAUCAGCCAUGUGAAAAAU